GACGAACGCUGGCGGCGUGCCUAAUACAUGCAAGUAGAACGCUGAAGGAGGAGCUUGCUUCUCUGGAUGAGUUGCGAACGGGUGGGUAACGCGUAGGUAACCUGCCUGGUAGCGGGGGAUAACUAUUGGAAACGAUAGCUAAUACCGCAUAAGAGUAGAUGUUGCAUGACAUUUGCUUAAAAGGUGCAAUUGCAUCACUACCAGAUGGACCUGCGUUGUAUUAGCUAGUUGGUGAGGUAACGGCUCACCAAGGCGACGAUACAUAGCCGACCUGAGAGGGUGAUCGGCCACACUGGGACUGAGACACGGCCCAGACUCCUACGGGAGGCAGCAGUAGGGAAUCUUCGGCAAUAGACGGAAGUCUGACCGAGCAACGCCGCGUGAGUGAAGAAGGUUUUCGGAUCGGAAAGCCCUGUUGUAAGAGAAGAACGAGUGUGAGAGUGGAAAGUUCACACUGUGACGGUAUCUUACCAGAAAGGGACGGCUAACUACGUG
rnacentral:rRNA from 1 species